UACAGAGGUCUCAAGCGUUGUUCGGAUUCAUUGGGCGUAAAGGGUGCGUAGGCGGCGGGGCAAGUCGGAUGUGAAAUCUCAGGGCUCAACCCUGAAACUGCAUUCGAUACUGCCUUGCUCGAGGACUGGAGAGGAGAUUGGAAUUCACGGUGUAGCAGUGAAAUGCGUAGAUAUCGUGAGGAAGACCAGUGGCGAAGGCGGAUCCCUGGACAGUUACUGACGCUGAGGCACGAAGGCCAGGGGAGCAAACGGG
rnacentral:rRNA from 1 species